ACCUGGUUGAUCCUGCCAGUAGUCA
rnacentral:rRNA from 5 species